ACCCGCACAAGCAGCGGAGCGUGUGGUUUAAUUCGUUGCUACACGAAGAACCUUACCUGGGUUUGACAUAUAGGUUGUAGGGAACUGAAAAGGGACCGACCUUCGGGGAGCCUAUACAGGUGUUGCAUGGCUGUCGUCAGCUCGUGUCGUGAGAUGUUCGGUUAAGUCCGCUAACGAGCGCAACCCUCGUCGUAUGUUAUAUGUGUCAUACGAGACUGCCGGUAAAAGCCGGAGGAAGGUGAGGAUGAUGUCAAGUCAGCAUGACCUUUAUAUCCAGGGCUACACACACGCUACAAUGGUCUGUACAAUGGGUAGCCAAGCCGCGAGGCGGAGCCAAUCCUGAAAGCAGGCCUCAGUUCAGAUUGCAGUCUGCAACUCGACUGCAUGAAGCCGGAGUUGCUAGUAACCGCAGGUCAGCAUGCCGCGGUGAAUACGUUCUCGGGGUUU
rnacentral:rRNA from 1 species